UACGUAGGGUCCGAGCGUUGUCCGGAAUUAUUGGGCGUAAAGGGCUCGUAGGCGGUUCGUCACGUCGGGAGUGAAAACUCGGAGCUUAACUCCGAGCCUGCUUCCGAUACGGGCAGACUAGAGGUAGGCAGGGGAGAGCGGAACUCCUGGUGUAGCGGUGGAAUGCGCAGAUAUCAGGAGGAACACCGGUGGCGAAGGCGGGUCUCUGGGCCGUAACUGACGCUGAGGAGCGAAAGCCAGGGGAGCAAACGGGG
rnacentral:rRNA from 1 species